rnacentral:rRNA from 1 species
GAUGAACGCUAGCGGCAGGCCUAAUACAUGCAAGUCGAACGGGAUCCAGAUCAAAGCUUGCUUUGGUCUGGUGAGAGCGGCGCACGGGUGCGUAACGCGUGAGCAACCUACCCUUGUCAGGGGGAUAGCCCGGCGAAAGUCGGAUUAAUACCGCAUGACAUCAUUGAGAGGCAUCUUUCGAUGAUCAAAGAUUUAUCGGACAAGGAUGGGCUCGCGUGACAUUAGCUAGUUGGUAAGGUAACGGCUUACCAAGGCUGCGAUGUCUAGGGGCUCUGAGAGGAGAAUCCCCCACACUGGUACUGAGACACGGACCAGACUCCUACGGGAGGCAGCAGUAAGGAAUAUUGGUCAAUGGACGGAAGUCUGAACCAGCCAUGCCGCGUGCAGGAAGACGGCCCUAUGGGUUGUAAACUGCUUUUAUACGGGAACAAACGUCGGUACGUGUACCGGUCUGAGUGUACCGUAAGAAUAAGGAUCGGCUAACUCCGUG